GAUGAACGCUGGCGGCGUGCCUAAGACAUGCAAGUCGAGCGGGUUUAGACCCGCGGCAAACGGGUGAGUAAUACCCAGGAACGUACCCUUAGUUGAGCAUAACCCACCGAAAGGUGGAGCAAUUCUCAAUGUGAUCGCAAGAUUAAAGCAGCAAUGCGCUAAAGAAGCGGCCUGGGCACCAUCAGCUAGUUGGUAAGGUAAAAGCUUACCAAGGCUAUGACGGUUAGGGGCCCCGAGAGGGGAAACCUCCACACUGGAACUGAGACACGGUCCAG
rnacentral:rRNA from 1 species